rnacentral:lncRNA from 1 species
UGGAUUGCCACUACAUACUGCUAGACAUCACUGAUGGAUUGUAGGACCAACGAAAAUUAUUUUGAUGGUUAAUAAUUUUUGAUUGAUGAGUUAAAAUUAUUUCAAUCCAUUGAAAGGAGUUUCAAUGAUAUUUUGAUGGAGAUCAAAAUAUUUCUUACUACCAGAGAGAAUAGAACCUAUAGGGUCACACAUAAAAGAGAUCC